AGCGAACGCUGGCGGCAGGCCUAACACAUGCAAGUCGAACGAAGUCUCCGGACUUAGUGGCGGACGGGUGAGUAACACGUGGGAACGUGCCUUUAGGUUCGGAAUAACUCAGGGAAACUUGUGCUAAUACCGAAUGUGCCCUUCGGGGGAAAGAUUUAUCGCCUUUAGAGCGGCCCGCGUCUGAUUAGCUAGUUGGUGGGGUAAUGGCUCACCAAGGCUACGAUCAGUAGCUGGUCUGAGAGGAUGACCAGCCACAUUGGGACUGAGACACGGCCCAAACUCCUACGGGAGGCAGCAGUGGGGAAUCUUGCGCAAUGGGCGAAAGCCUGACGCAGCCAUGCCGCGUGGAUGAUGAAGGUCUUAGGAUUGUAAAAUCCUUUCACCGGUGAAGAUAAUGACUGUAGCCGGAGAAGAAGCCCCGGCUAACUUCGUGCCAGCAGCCGCAGUAACAC
rnacentral:rRNA from 1 species